GGAUUGUUGCCCUUCUUCACCGGAGAAGUUCUCCUGCUAGAUAGCAGGUUUUGAGCAUACCCUUUGGACUAACUAUAUUGUUAUGAUGAUUCUUCUAAGCUAGGCCUCAAGAAGAGGGAGCUCCAAACAGGAAUUUUGGGACAUGUGAGAAGUUGUUAAGUUCAAGGAAGGUGGCCUGAAUGAAUCCACGUGUCUUCACAGAAGCAAUGGUGGAAACUUCUUAAGGAUCUUUUAUUGCCCGAAUCAGCUCAUACUUAUACAGAAAUACAGGUAAGUAAGACUCUGAAGAGAGUUCUGCCUGACAAUGACAAUAACUGACUUGGCUGAUAAACUCAUAAAAAAUUCAGAUGAACACUUACACUUUACAGUCCUGAUACUUGCUACUCACCUGAGUUCUGCCCAGCUUCAUUCAUUUCUGUGUCAGACUUUGAUCAUGGAAAGCUCUGCUCUCCAGACUGCUCACUGUGCUGGUUUAGCACAUGAAGUUCCCAGUCUUUGCCUGGAGUUCUGAGCUGGAAAACUGGAAAUACUACCCAAGUGAGAAGGGUGAUGGACAAGGUGAUGCAUGGCAAACAGCAUCUGUAGUUCACCGUGAUGAUCAUGGACAGGCUGAAACAGGCAGCCUGAGAGACCAUCCUUCAGCUAGCCUGACACUUUGCUGCCUCUUCCACUGGGAGAUUAUUUUGCUCCUUUUCCACUCUGUGAUGGCUUUUUCUCCUUUAAAAAAUAAGUAAAUAAAUAAUCCCCUCUUCACUUUUUGGUUGCACUUACUGUACAUAAUUAGUAUAAUUAUACAUAUUAAAUAUAUGCAUAAUUAGUAGCAAUUCACUUAAUGAGGACUUCAGUGCAUGAGCUCUUGUGAAUGUUGAUCAACAGUGAUAAAAACCUUCGGGAACUUUCAUGUUUCUACCUUGUUUCUAUCUUGCUAGACACUUUUGAAGUGAGUUGAAGUAUUUAAAAGUCAAAUCUGCAAGUUGUCUCUAAUUCUGUGUUGUUCUACAUAUGCAGCAAUGAGUUUAGAUGUUUAAGAUCGAUUACUUCAGAAAGGCAUUUAAAGUUUAAUGCAUGUACAGAAGUAUUCUGAUCUUAUUUCCCAUAGAGUCACAUCUUCACUCCUUUUCCUUCACAGAUGAGGCCAGGGCCUUGGGUGAUCUGAGAGUGGUUAUAUCUAGAGGCACAGUGAUCCUCUGCUAGGUCUUCUGAGUUACAGUUCUAGGGAUUUGCCUGCUUGAGGUCUGUCACUGGCUAAUAAUGCACAGCUACCUGGGAAUGUGAUAGAUGAGAUACUGAAAUAGUUGUGUGUAUCCUCUGGACCUGUUUCUAUAUAAUCCUGGUCUGAUUUUUUUUUUUCCUGUGAGAUCUCUAAGCCUUGACAUUUCAUCCUUUUAUUCCUUAAUGCAGUGAAGAGUGCACUUGGAAUGCAGAACAAAAACACCAAAAACAUUGUUUGGGCAAUAACUUUUUUGCAUUAUUGCUUUAGGAGUUUAACUCUACAAUGACACCAAGUAUUUUAGAUCACUAGGCACCCUGAGAUUUCAUUUUAUUUUUUAGCUGUAGAAUAACUUCAGCAAAGUUGGAAUACUAGUAUUGGCCCUUGUUAAUCAAUUGUACAUUCCUGAGGAUAUUCAAAUGACAACCUCAAAUAUAAUAGAAACAUUCACAAAUCAGUGGAUUUAUUUUUGGAUCUUUCUCUGUAUGAUCUCAUGUUCUAAAAUUUCUUUUAAACCUCUCUCCCAUGUACACCUAUGCACAAAUACUGCUUUUGCAAAUGGCCAAUGGGAAAUGUUGGAAGAAGAGUAUGCUUAUUCAAAACAAGGAGUAACUUCCCUGCCAUGACUAUCUUUGGUUUUCUAAUGUUGAUAUUCACUUAAUUCCAUUCUCUGAGGUGUGAUGUAUGUCUACUACCAAUGUAAUCUAUCACCUCUUUAUAGGUUGCUUCUAUGUUUAUAAUAAAUGGUUUGUUGUGGC
rnacentral:lncRNA from 7 species